AAAGCUUCCUUCUGUGCAAAAAUAAAUCAAAAUAUAUGAGUUUGAAUGGGAAUAAGCCUCGUCCAAUGUGGUAAGAGCUGUUGUGUAAUGGCCUGUCCCUUUCCUCUCUCUGAAGGUACCAACCCUACGCAUCCCACUGGCCUGGAGUAACGUUUGGAGCAGCCUGGCAGUGCAAUCCUUUUAGUAGCUUCCAAGGAUUUUUGGGAUCAUGGGAUACAUGGACAUACAGACCCAUGAAGCCCUCUGGAGAAUGCUGGCUGUGGAUAAAAGCAUCUUCAAGUUCUUACCAUCUCUUUACCCUGUUUUUUCCUGGAUCACCUUGUGUCAUUUGGGAAGGAAGUCUCUCUGUCCUGAGGAUUAUAGUGUACCAGUCACUUAGUGGAAUACCUCCCCAGUCAUCUUCUCGAGAUGGAGCCAUUGCUUUACCAAGCUGGAAGAUAUCUUUUCUUCUCCCAGAGCCUUUCCAGUGCAGCAGCACUCCUGUCCAGCAGUAUCAAAGCCAGGAGGUUGGAUUAGAGACCCGAGGUGCCAGCAGCAAAAAGGGGACCUGAGUAUGUGCAAUAAAAAAACCUUAUAUAUAUAUUUAUAAAGAUUA
rnacentral:lncRNA from 1 species